GAACGAACUCUGGUAUUGAUUGGUGCUUGCAUCAUGAUUUACAUUUGAGUGAGUGGCGAACUGGUGAGUAACACGUGGGAAACCUGCCCAGAAGCGGGGGAUAACACCUGGAAACAGAUGCUAAUACCGCAUAACAACUUGGACCGCAUGGUCCGAGUUUGAAAGAUGGCUUCGGCUAUCACUUUUGGAUGGUCCCGCGGCGUAUUAGCUAGAUGGUGGGGUAACGGCUCACCAUGGCAAUGAUACGUAGCCGACCUGAGAGGGUAAUCGGCCACAUUGGGACUGAGACACGGCCCAAACUCCUACGGGAGGCAGCAGUAGGGAAUCUUCCACAAUGGACGAAAGUCUGAUGGAGCAACGCCGCGUGAGUGAAGAAGGGUUUCGGCUCGUAAAACUCUGUUGUUAAAGAAGAACAUAUCUGAGAGUAACUGUUCAGGUAUUGACGGUAUUUAACCAGAAAGCCACGGCUAACUACGUGCCAGCAGCCGCGGUAAUACGUAGGUGGCAAGCGUUGUCCGGAUUUAUUGGGCGUAAAGCGAGCGCAGGCGGUUUUUUAAGUCUGAUGUGAAAGCCUUCGGCUCAACCGAAGAAGUGCAUCGGAAACUGGGAAACUUGAGUGCAGAAGAGGACAGUGGAACUCCAUGUGUAGCGGUGAAAUGCGUAGAUAUAUGGAAG
rnacentral:rRNA from 1 species